GACAGCUUGGCCGAGUGGUUAAGGCGAUGGACUUCGAAAUCCAUUGGGGUAACCUGCGUGAGUUCAAAUCUCACAGCUGUCG
rnacentral:tRNA from 1 species